rnacentral:tRNA from 13 species
GGCGACGUACCCAAGUUGGUAAGGGGCGAGUCUGCAAAACUCUUAUUCGGCGGUUCGAGUCCGCCCGUUGCCU